rnacentral:rRNA from 1 species
GGAGUUAGUCGGUGCUUCUUCUGUGAGUGAUGUCCUUCCUGCCGGCUAUUAACCCGCAGGCCUUCUUCCUCACUGAAAGUGCUUUACAACCCGAAGGCCUUCUUCACACACGCGGCAUGGCUGGAUCAGGGUUGCCCACAUUGUCCAAUAUUCCCCACUGCUGCCUCCCGUAGGAGUCUGGGCCGUGUCUCAGUCCCAGUGUGGCUGAUCAUCCUCUCAGACCAGCUACGGAUCGUCGCCUUGGUGAGCCGUUACCUCACCAACCAGCUAAUCCGACAUAGGCUCAUCCGAUAGCGCGAGGCCCGAAGGUCCCCCGCUUUCCCCCGUAGGGCGUAUGCGGUAUUAGCCUGGGUUUCCCCAGGUUAUCCCCCACUACCGGGCAGAUUCCUAUGCAUUACUCACCCGUCCGCCGCUCGCCACCAGGGAGCAAGCUCCCCGUGCUGCCGCUCGACUUGCAUGUGUUAGGCCUGCCGCCAGCGUUCAAUCUGAGCCAGUGACUACAACUCUACGACGUAGACGGCGGUCGCGACGACGGCGACUAG